rnacentral:rRNA from 1 species
GCUCAGGAUGAACGCUAGCUACAGGCUUAACACAUGCAAGUCGAGGGGUAGCAGGGUAGCAAUACCGCUGACGACCGGCGCACGGGUGAGUAACACGUAUCCAACCUUCCCAUAACUCGGGGAUAGCCUUUCGAAAGAAAGAUUAAUACCCGAUAGUACUUUUUUAGGGCAUCUUAGAAAAGUUAAAGAUUUAUUGGUUAUGGAUGGGGAUGCGUUCCAUUAGAUAGUUGGUGAGGUAACGGCUCACCAAGUCUUCGAUGGAUAGGGGUUCUGAGAGGAAGGUCCCCCACAUUGGUACUGAGACACGGACCAAACUCCUACGGGAGGCAGCAGUGAGGAAUAUUGGUCAAUGGGCGAGAGCCUGAACCAGC